UUUGUACUCCCUCCGUCCCAAAAUUCUUGUCUUAAAUUUGUCUAAAUACGGAUGUAUCUAGUUACAUUUUAGUGUUAGAUACAUCCGUAUCUAAACAAAUGUAAGACAAGAAUUUUGGGACGGUGGGAAUACUAC
rnacentral:pre_miRNA from 1 species